rnacentral:pre_miRNA from 1 species
UGUGUACUCCCUCCGUUCCAAAAUACUUGACUUCCAUUUGUCCAAAAAUGGAUGUACCUAUAUACUAAGACAUGUCUAGAUACAUAUAUAUUUUUACAAAUAGAAGGCAUGUAUUGUGCAACAGAGGGAGUAGAAU